UCGGGAAUUUUGGGCAAUGGGCGAAAGCCUGACCCAGCAACGCCGCGUGAGGGAUGAAGUAUUUCGGUAUGUAAACCUCGAAAGCAUGGGAAGAAUAAAUGACGGUACCAUUUAUAAGCUCCGGCUAACUACGUGCCAGCAGCCGCGGUAAUACGUAGGGAGCAAGCGUUGUUCGGAUUUACUGGGCGUAAAGGGCGCGUAGGCGGCGCGGUAAGUCACUUGUGAAAUCUCUGAGCUUAACUCAGAACGGCCAAGUGAUACUGCUGUGCUAGAGUGCGGAAGAGGCAACCGGAAUGCUUGGUGUAGCGGUGAAAUGCGUAGAUAUCAAGAGGAACACCUGAGGCGAAGGCGGGUUGCUGGGCCGACACUGACGCUGAUGCGCGAAAGCCAGGGGAGCAAACG
rnacentral:rRNA from 1 species